rnacentral:rRNA from 1 species
GAGAGUUUGAUCCUGGCUCAGAGCGAACGCUGGCGGCAUGCUUAACACAUGCAAGUCGCACGGACCUUUCGGGGUGAGUGGCGGACGGGUGAGUAACGCGUAGGGAUUUAUCCAUAGGUGGGGGAUAACACUGGGAAACUGGUGCUAAUACCGCAUGACACCUGAGGGUCAAAGGCGCAAGUCGCCUAUGGAGGAGCCUGCGUUCGAUUAGCUAGUUGGUUAGGUAAAGGCUGACCAAGGCGAUGAUCGAUAGCUG